GGACGGCGGGUGCUAUACUGCAAGUCGAGCGGAGAUAGUGGAGCUUGCUCCAUUAUCUUAGCGGCGGACGGGUGAGUAACACGUGGGCAACCUGCCCUGCAGAUCGGGAUAACUCCGGGAAACCGGUGCUAAUACCGAAUAGUUUGCGGCCUCUCAUGAGGCUGCACGGAAAGACGGUUUCGGCUGUCACUGCAGGAUGGGCCCGCGGCGCAUUAGCUAGUUGGUGAGGUAACGGCUCACCAAGGCCACGAUGCGUAGCCGACCUGAGAGGGUGAUCGGCCACACUGGGACUGAGACACGGCCCAGACUCCUACGGGAGGCAGCAGUAGGGAAUCUUCCGCAAUGGACGAAAGUCUGACGGAGCAACGCCGCGUGAGUGAAGAAGGUUUUCGGAUCGUAAAACUCUGUUGUGAGGGAAGAACAAGUACCAACUAACUACUGGUACCUUGACGGUACCUCACCAGAAAGCCACGGCUAACUACGUGCCAGCAGCCGCGGUAAAAA
rnacentral:rRNA from 1 species